UACAGAGGGUGCGAGCGUUGUUCGGAAUUAUUGGGCGUAAAGCGCUUGUAGGCGGCCUGUCAAGUCGCGUGUGAAAUCCCCUGGCUUAACCAGGGAAGUGCGCGCGAAACUGAAGGGCUUGAGUGCCGGAGAGGGUCGCGGAAUUCCCGGUGUAGAGGUGAAAUUCGUAGAGAUCGGUAGGAACACCAGUGGCGAAGGCGGUCUCCUGGGGUUAUCUUGACGCUGAUGCGCGAAAGCGUGGGGAGCAAACAGG
rnacentral:rRNA from 1 species